rnacentral:rRNA from 1 species
GACGAACGCUGGCGGCGUGCUUAACACAUGCAAGUCGAACGAUGAAGCCGGAGCUUGCUCUGGUGAAUUAGUGGCGAACGGGUGAGUAACACGUGAGUAACCUGCCCUUGACUCUGGGAUAACUGCUAGAAAUGGUAGCUAAUACCGGAUACGACCCUCGGAGGCAUCUCCAGGGGGUGGAAAGAAUUUCGGUCAAGGAUGGACUCGCGGCCUAUCAGCUAGUUGGUGAGGUAAUGGCUCACCAAGGCGACGACGGGUAGCCGGCCUGAGAGGGUGACCGGCCACACUGGGACUGAGACACGGCCCAGACUCCUACGGGAGGCAGCAGUGGGGAAUAUUGCACAAUGGGCGCAAGCCUGAUGCAGCGACGCCGCGUGAGGGAUGACGGCCUUCGGGUUGUAAACCUCUUUCAGCACCGACGAAGCGCAAGUGACGGUAGGUGCAGAAGAAGGACCGGCCAACUAUGUGCCAGCAGCCGCAGUAA